CCUACGGGUGGCUGCAGUGGGGAAUUUUGGACAAUGGGGGCAACCCUGAUCCAGCCAUUCCGCGUGAGUGAAGAAGGCCUUCGGGUUGUAAAGCUCUUUUGUCCGGAGCGAAACGGGCGGCCCUACUACGGUCGUCUACUGACGGUACCGGAAGAAUAAGCACCGGCUAACUACGUGCCAGCAGCCGCGGUAAUACGUAGGGUGCGAGCGUUAAUCGGAAUUACUGGGGGUAAAGUUGUCACAGGCGGGUGAAAUCCCCGGGCUCAAGCUGGGAAUGGCAUUUGGGACUGCAAGGCUGGAGUGUGGCAGAGGGGACUAGAAUUCCUGGUGUAGCAGGGAAAUGCGUAGAUAUCAGGAGGAAUACCGAUGGCGAAGGCAGGUCCCUGGGUUAACACUGACGCUCAUGCACGAAAGCGUGGGGAGCAAACAGGAUUAGAUACCCUAGUAGUC
rnacentral:rRNA from 1 species